UCUCUCAUCGUAUAAGGGUAGAUUACACACAUGAUAUCGACAAAGAUAGCCAUUCUCUGUAGGAUCUGGGUUCAAAUCCCAGUGAGAGAA